GCCCCAUGAUGAGAACAAGGCAAAUAUGAGCUGAAUGGCUGGGAUUUUGUGUUCUCUUGCUUUCUGAUUGGUGGGUAAUCUUGGUAGAGCAGUGGAGAUUGGCUGCGCUGCUGUAAGGGCCCACCUAUAUUGAUGCCGGCUGUCAAGCAUAAUGCAAUUCUCCUUUAGAAAUGGAUAUUUGUGGAUGAUUUGGCAGCUUACAGUGUGUGGUUGUGUGUGUUUUAUGUCUUGAGUGUGUGUAAAUGUGUCAGUCAGCAAAGAGUCACAUCUCCUAACAGGCCCACCAGCUGUGAAUGUUUUCUUUGGUAAUCUGAGGGCA